rnacentral:rRNA from 1 species
CCCGGCACGGGGAGGUAGUGACGAAAAAUAACGAUACGGGACUCAUCCGAGGCCCCGUAAUCGGAAUGAGUACACUUUAAAUCCUUUCAUGAGGAUCCAUUGGAGGGCAAGCCUGGUGCCAGCAGCCGCGGUAAUUCCAGCUCCAAUAGCGUAUAUUAAAGUUGUUGCGGUUAAAAAGCUCGUAGUUGGUUCUGUGUGCCAUGCUGUUGGUUCACCGCCUGUCGGUGCAACUAACAUGUCAUGGAACGUCUUGUCGGUGGUAAUUAAAGACUUAUUUUUUAGUAAAAGUUUAUACUUGAACUAUAAAUAGGUUCCUUUAAUUACCGAUUAGUUCCUACCGCGGUGCUCUUCAUUGAGUGUCGAGGUCGGCCGACAAGUUUACUUUGAACAAAUUAGAGUGCUCAAAGCAGGCAAAAGUCUGCCUUGAAUAGUGGUGCAUGGAAUAAUAGAAUAGGACCUUGGUUCUAUUUUGCUGGUUUUCUGAAUCCAAGGUAAUGAUCAAUAUGGACAGGCGGGGGCAUUCGUAUUGCGACGUUAGAGGUGAAAUUCUUGGAUCGUCGCAAGACGAACUAGAGCGAAAGCAUUUGCCAAGUAUGUCUUAAUUGAUCAAGAACGAAAGUUAGAGGUUCGAAGGCGAUCAGAUACCGCCCUAGUUCUAACCAUAAACGAUGCCAGCUAGCGAUCCGCCGAUGUUUUUCUCAUGACUCGACGGGCAGCUCCCCGGGAAACCAAAGCUUUUGGGUUC